CUCCCUUCCUCCCCCCUGAGGGGCGCUCUACUCACCACCAUCCCCUCCCCAGUUGCAACUGGACCCCAAAUUCCUGCCCCCCAAACUGCCAGGAGCUGGGUGACACCCAGGUCCCCCCGUUCCCCCCAUGGCUUGGACCUCCUGUGUGUCCCCUCAAGUCCCGUGUCCCCCCCCCCCCUCAGCCUGUCCCUGGGGGGCCACCCCGCACCCCCGCGAGGCCAGUGUCCCUGAUGGUGUCCCCGUGUCUCUUCCAGCCGUGUCCUGCCCGUGUGUCCCCGUGUCCCUCCGUCCCUCGCCAUGUUGGCCUGUGCAAAGUUCGUCUCCGCUCCCGCACUAGUGAGGAGGAGCUCGCGGGUGCUGUGCCAGCCCCUCUCUGCCUCUGUGCUGAGCAUCCCCGAGGCCCGGACGGAGCAGUUGCCGCCGGGGGCCCCCCGGGC
rnacentral:lncRNA from 1 species